rnacentral:rRNA from 1 species
UACGUAGGGGGCGAGCGUUGUCCGAAGUUACUGGGCGUAAAGCGCACGUAGGCGGUUCGUUAUGUCGGAUGUGAAAGCCCUUGGCUUAACCGAGGAAGUGCAUCCGAAACUGGCGAGCUAGAGUACGAAAGAGGAUCGCGGAAUUCCCGGUGUAGAGGUGAAAUUCGUAGAUAUCGGGAGGAACACCGGUGGCGAAGGCGGCGAUCUGGGUCGAUACUGACGCUGAGGUGCGAAAGCGUGGGGAGCAAACAGG